rnacentral:rRNA from 1 species
GACGAACGCUGGCGGCGUGCCUAAUACAUGCAAGUAGAACGCUGAAGGAGGAGCUUGCUCUUCUGGAUGAGUUGCGAACGGGUGAGUAACGCGUAGGUAACCUGCCUGGUAGCGGGGGAUAACUAUUGGAAACGAUAGCUAAUACCGCAUAACAGUAGAUGUUGCAUGACAUUUACUUAAAAGGUGCAAUUGCAUCACUACCAGAUGGACCUGCGUUGUAUUAGCUAGUUGGUGGGGUAACGGCUCACCAAGGCGACGAUACAUAGCCGACCUGAGAGGGUGAUCGGCCACACUGGAACUGAGACACGGCCCAGACUCCUACGGGAGGCAGCAGUAGGGAAUCUUCGGCAAUGGACGGAAGUCUGACCGAGCAACGCCGCGUGAGUGAAGAAGGUUUUCGGAUCGUAAAGCUCUGUUGUAAGUGAAGAACGAGUGUGAGAGUGGAAAGUUCACACUGUGACGGUAUCUUACCAGAAAGGGACGGCUAACUACGUG